rnacentral:lncRNA from 1 species
GGGCUAAAGUUUCGACACUAAAUAUCUCACCUUUAGUUCCGGUGGGUAACAGCAACCGAGACUAAAAGGUGCGCCAGGGUGUGCCACCUGGCCUCCACUUUUAGUCCCGGUUGUUGCUACCAACCGGGACUAAAGACUUUUUUCUUUUUUUUUCAUUUGGUUUUCCAUUUAGGGUUUACAAUUAUGUUAUUAUUAUUUUCGAAUGCGUAUUGUUUGCUGGUAGUUUAUGGAACGCGCACCUAUAAUUUAUAUAAUUUAUAAAACACUAUAUAUAUAUAAUAUGUAUCUAUAGGUCCAUAAUAUAAUAUUUACACAUAUGCUUCACGGACAAAGUAUUUACAACACAAUUUAUCUCCGGCACUCAAGCAUCGUACAAAUGAUCAUCGUUAUUUGGUUUCAUCUGCUCCUGAGGGUUGAAGUAGCACUCGCCGCCGGGAUCUAGGACUUGGUCGUUAAGAAAUCCUGCGAUUGUCUCCUGAAUUCCUUUUAGGCGCACCGCAUCCAACACCUGCUCCUUCAGUCACAUCUCCUUUAAUAGACAUUAAAGAAAAAAGUUAGAGGUAUGAAUAGGAUUUAUUAAAUAGCAACAAAUAAAUGAAAUAAACUUAUUAUAUAUACAUGUUACAUACUUUUAGGUGCUCAAGAUUAGUUAUUUUGGCAUACACCGUCAUAAACUCACACACAUAGUAGUCACACAAAUUGUUGCCCGGUGUCUGCCGUAGAACCCACUGAAGUAAGAUGGGCUUUGAAAGUGCUGCAUUCAACUCUGGACGGUGUUUCUGCACGAACCCAGCCCAAACCCUAGCAAUAAAACGAUCAUUAUUAAUUAUCCAUUACCA